UACGUAGGGGGCAAGCGUUGUCCGGAAUUAUUGGGCGUAAAGCGCGUGUAGGCGGCUUGGUAAGUCCGUUCUGAAAGCCCAGGGCUCAACCCUGGGAGGCGGAUGGAUACUGUCAAGCUAGAGUCCGGAAGAGGCGAGUGGAAUUCCCGGUGUAGCGGUGAAAUGCGCAGAUAUCGGGAGGAACACCAAUGGCGAAGGCAGCUCGCUGGGACGUGACUGACGCUGAGACGCGAAAGCGUGGGGAGCAAACAGG
rnacentral:rRNA from 1 species